rnacentral:rRNA from 1 species
UACGAAGGGUGCAAGCGUUAGUCGGAAUUACUGGGCGUAAAGCGUGCGUAGGCGGUCUCUUAAGUCCGUUGUGAAAGCCCUGGGCUCAACCUGGGAACUGCAGUGGAUACUGAGAAGCUAGAGUGUGUCAGAGGAUGGUGGAAUUCCCGGUGUAGCGGUGAAAAUGCGUAGAGAUCGGGAGGAACAUCAGUGGCGAAGGCGGGCCAUCUGGGACAACACUGACGCUGAGGCACGAAAGCGUGGGGAGCAAACAGGG